rnacentral:rRNA from 1 species
UACGAAGGGGCUAGCGUUGUUCGGAUUUACUGGGCGUAAAGCGCGCGCAGGCGGAUCAGCAAGUCAGAAUGUGAAAUCUCGGAGCUCAACUCCCGAAACGUGACGUCUGAAACUGCUAGUCUAGAAUGUCGGGAGGGGGUAGGGGAAUUUCAACGUGUAGGGGUAAAAUCCGUAGAGAUGUGAAGGAACACCGGAGGCGAAGGCGCCUGGCCCUGGACGACUAUUGACGCUGAGGCGCGAAAGCGUGGGGAGCAAACAGG